rnacentral:rRNA from 1 species
CGUGGGUAACCUGCCCAAGAGAACUGGGGAUAACACCUGGAAACAGAUGCUAAUACCGGAUAACAACACUAGACGCAUGUCUAGUAGUUUAAAAGAUGGUUCUGCUAUCACUCUUGGAUGGACCUGCGGUGCAUUAGCUAGUUGGUAAGGUAACGGCUUACCAAGGCAAUGAUGCAUAGCCGAGUUGAGAGACUGAUCGGCCACAUUGGGACUGAGACACGGCCCAAACUCCUACGGGAGGCAGCAG